rnacentral:rRNA from 1 species
AGAGGUCCCAAGCGUUGUUCGGAUUUACUGGGCGUAAAGGGAGCGUAGGUGGCUUGUUAAGUCUGGUGUGAAAUCUCUGAGCUUAACUCAGAAACUGCACCAGAUACUACCAAGCUUGAGUGUUGGAGGGGAGAUUGGAAUUCUCGGUGUAGCAGUGAAAUGCGUAGAUAUCGAGAGGAACACCAGUGGCGAAGGCGAGUCUCUGGACAACAACUGACACUGAUGCUCGAAAGCUAGGGGAUCAAACGGGAUUAGAUACCCCGGUAGUCCUAGCUGUAAACGGUGCACGCUUGCUGUAAGCGGAAUUAACCCCGCUUGUGGCGUAGCUAACGCGAUAAGCGUGCCGCCUGGGAAGUACGGUCGCAAGAUUA